rnacentral:rRNA from 1 species
UACGUAGGGGGCAAGCGUUGUCCGGAUUUAUUGGGCGCAAAGAGCGUGUAGGCGGCCUGACAGGUCUGCUGUGAAAACUCGAGGCUCAACCUCGAGAUGUCGGCGGAAACCGUCUGGCUAGAGUCCGGAAGAGGAGAGUGGAAUUCCUGGUGUAGCGGUGAAAUGCGCAGAUAUCAGGAAGAACACCUAUGGCGAAGGCAGCUCUCUGGGACGGUACUGACGCUGAGACGCGAAAGCGUGGGGAGCGAACAGG